rnacentral:misc_RNA from 1 species
CAAGAAGCCGAAAGGCUGCUUAAAGCCAUCGCGAACCUAUCCAUCAGCGUUGCUUCGGCGGGAGGAGGCCGCGGGGGCCGGCGUCUGCCGGGCCCGGGGUCGGGGACUCACACCCUUCCGGGGGUGCGGGGCCCGCCCGCCGGAGGUACGAAACUCUUCUGCAUCUAUAGUGUGAUCUCUGAGUAAGCAAGCAAAUAAGUUA